rnacentral:rRNA from 1 species
CAGCCGCCGCGGUAAUACGUAGGUGGCAAGCGUUGUCCGGAAUUAUUGGGCGUAAAGCGCGCGCAGGCGGUUUCUUAAGUCUGAUGUGAAAGCCCCCGGCUUAACCGGGGAGGGUCAUUGGAAACUGGGAGACUUAGAGUGCAGAAGAGGAGAGUGGAAUUCCACGUGUAGCGGUGAAAUGCGUAGAGAUGUGGAGGAACACCAGUGGCGAAGGCGACUCUCUGGUCUGUAACUGACGCUGAGGAGCGAAAGCGUGGGGAGCGAACAGGAUUAGAUACCCCGGUAGUCCCUGUCUCUUAUA